rnacentral:rRNA from 1 species
UACGUAGGGGGCGAGCGUUGUCCGGAUUUAUUGGGCGUAAAGAGCUCGUAGGCGGCUCAGUAAGUCAGGUGUGAAAUCUCCCGGCUCAACCGGGAGGGUGCGCCGAAAACUGGGAGACUAGAGUGCGGGAUGGGAGAGUAGAAUUCCUGGUGUAGCGGUGAAAUGCGCAGAUAUCAGGAGGAACACCGGUGGCGAAGGCGGUUCUCUGGGCAUGUCCUGACGCUGAGGAGCGAAAGUGUGGGGAGCGAACAGG